GCCUUCGUAGUGUAGUGGUCAGCACGCUCAACGUGUAAACGAGAGGUCCGUGGUUCGAUUCUCGCGAAGGCA
rfam:Stegodyphus mimosarum contig90258, whole genome shotgun sequence.